GACGAACGCUGGCGGCGUGCCUAAUACAUGCAAGUCGAACGAACGGAUAAAGAGCUUGCUCUUUUGAAGUUAGUGGCGGACGGGUGAGUAACACGUGGGUAACCUGCCUCACAGCUGGGGAUAACAUCGAGAAAUCGAUGCUAAUACCGAAUGUGCUGAACAUCAUAAGAUGUUCAAGUGAAAGACGGUUUCGGCUGUCACUGUGAGAUGGACCCGCGCUGGAUUAGCUAGUUGGUAAGGUAAUGGCUUACCAAGGCGACGAUCCAUAGCGACCUGAGAGGGUGAUCGGCACAUUGGGACUGAGACACGGCCCAAACUCCUACGGGAGGCAGCAGUAGGGAAUCUUCGGCAAAUGGACGAAAGGUCUGACCGAGCAACGCCGCGUGAGCGAAGAAGGCCU
rnacentral:rRNA from 1 species